CCUACGGGAGGCAGCAGUAGGGAAUAUUGCUCAAUGGGGGAAACCCUGAAGCAGCAACGCCGCGUGGAGGAUGAAGGCUUUCGGAUUGUAAACUUCUUUUGUUAGAGAAGAUAAUGACGGUAUCCAACUUAUAUGCACCGGCUAACUCUGCGUCAGCAGCCGCGGUAAUACGGAGGGUGCAAGCGUUACUCGGAAUCACUGGGCGUAAAGAGCGCGUAGGCGGGGUAGCAAGUCAGAUGUGAAAUCCCCGGGCUCAACCACAGAACUGCAUUUGAAACAGUUAUUCUAGAGUAUGGGAGAGGUAGGUGGAAUUCUUGGUGUAGGGGUAAAAUCCGUAGAGAUAAAGAAGAAUACUCAUUGCGAAGGCGACCUGCUAGAACAUAACUGACGCUGAUGCGCGAAAGCGUGGGGAGCAAACAGGAUUAGAUACCCUAGUAGUC
rnacentral:rRNA from 1 species